CUACGGAGGACGCGAGCGUUAUCCGGAUUCAUUGGGUUUAAAGGGUGCGCAGGCGGCCGUGCAAGUCAGCGGUGAAAGCCCGGGGCCCAACCCCGGAAGUGCCGCUGAUACUGCAUGGCUUGAAUGCGGUCGAGGCGGGCGGGACGCGGGGGGUAGCGGGGAAAAGCGUAGAUAUGCCACAGAACGCCGAUAACGGAGGCAGCUCGCCAGGCCUGCAUUGACGCUCGGGCACGAAAGCGUGGGGAUCGAACAGGAUUAGAUACCCUGGUAGUCCACGCCGUAAACGAUGGGCGCUCGUCGUCGGCGGCAGACAGUCGGCGGCCAAGCGAAAGCGAUAAGCGCCCCACCUGGGGAGUACGGUCGCAAGGCUGAAACUCAAAUGAAUUGACGGGG
rnacentral:rRNA from 1 species